UUUUUUUUUUUUUUUUUUUUUUUUUUUGUGUUUUUCCUUCUUGCGA
rnacentral:ribozyme from 1 species